UACAGAGGGUGCGAGCGUUGUCCGGAAUCACUGGGCGUAAAGGGCGCGUAGGUGGCGGCCCAAGUCCAUGGUGAAAGCUCGAUGCUCAACAUCGAGUCGGCCACGGAUACUGGGUUGCUCGAGCACUGUAGGGGCAGAUGGAAUUCCGGGUGGAGCGGUGGAAUGCGUAGAGAUCCGGAAGAACACCGGAGGCGAAGGCGGUCUGCUGGGCAGUUGCUGACACUGAGGCGCGACAGCGUGGGGAGCAAACAGG
rnacentral:rRNA from 1 species